GACCCAGCGGGACCUGGCUCAGCCCUGCCAGGCCGCGCUCAAAAGUCACAGAAUCGAUUAGGUUGGAAAAGACCUCUGGGAACAUCGGGUCCAACCCAUGACCGAACACCGCGGUGUCAGACCGUGGCACUGAGUGCCACGUCCAGCCUUCCCUUGAACACCUCCAGGGGCAGUGGCACCACCGCCUCCCUGGGCAGCCCGUUCCAAUGUGUAAUGACCCUUUCUGUGAAGGAAUUCCGCCUAAUGUCCAGCCUUAACUUCUCCUGGCGCAGCGUCACAGUGUGUGUCCUCUUGUCCUGUCACUGGUUAACUUGGAGAAGAGACCAACCCCGAGCCUAGCCACAAGCUCCUUUCAGGUAGCUGUAGAGAGUGAUAAGGUCACCCCUGAGCCUCUUUUUCUCACGCCAAACAACCCCAGCUCCCCCAGCCACUCCUCAUGAGACUCCUGCUCCAGACCCUCCAGCAACUUUGUUGCCCUUCUCUGGGCAUCUCGGUUCACCUCAACCUGACUUUUCCCAGCCUGGCUGGGUUCAGCCCAGCCUGGCUCAGCUUGGUUUGGUUCAGCCCAGGGCAGCCUGGCUCGGUGCAGCUCCUCAUCGUGGCUGAUGAGACCCAUAGGAAGUGUUUCCAUACCGUGAUGCCGUGUGCCAGUGAGUGGCUGGCAGCUGGUCAGUGGGAGAAGCCCAGAGAGCCAGUGCUGUCCCCGCAGCAGCACGUCCCGAGGUUCAGGAGCAGAAGUGGCAACUCGGAGAGAAAUCUGUGGACUGCUAGUAUUGAGAUGGAGGCAAGAGGUGAUGAAAGCUUUGAGGUCUUCUCCUCAGCGAGAAGCAGCAUGUCCUUUGGAGUCAUUUGUAGGGGUGGAGGAGACUGCCUUCCAUUACAACAGAAGGAAUCUGUAAUUUACUCUUGGAAUAGACAGAAAUAAAUUCUAACAUAUUUCUGAGACAUACCAGAAUUACUCCAAACUUAGAAGAAUUUUGGAGCAAAGUUAAAUGCUUCAAGCCUAAAUAGCACACUUCAAAUUCUCUUCUUAUAGUUUAUAUCAUCAUGGAUUAAAAUGAAAUGCUGCUGUGAAGGUGCCCCAUCAAACAGAACAUGGUUGUAGUCAUUUGCCUUGUGUGGCCUGAGUAAAAGUGCUCCAGUGUGCAUUUCUGCCCUAGGAAAAUCCUUUAUGCCCUGAUUUCCAAGUUCAAAAAUAACUCUCUAGAGAUGAAACACGUUUUUCACCCUUUAAAGUAGUGUUUUCACCUACAAAUACUUGCUGCCUAAACAGGAGCCCUUUCCUUUGCACUUGUGCCAACAUGCAGCUUGGAUAAAGAACUAAACUUAGAUUCAUAGUUAUAAUGCUUCCACUGACUUUUUUGGUUUUGUUUUUUAAUAAUGACUGUAAGACAUGUGCCGUCUCUCUUCUGAAUUUUAAUCUUUCUAAUGAAGGUGUGUUUGAAGAAGGCACACCCUUCAGAAGAUGCUUUGUGGUAUCGCCUUUGUGCCUUUAGUAUUGAGGACCAGCUGCCUUUUCAAUUUUAAAUGCGCUUUUCAGGGUCUUACAUCACAGAGGCCUAAAUUAAAACACACUUACCAUAAAGGGGUGCAGCACAUGCAUUCAUCCUGGAAAUUGCACUGCGACAUGAAAGAUAUCCAAACACUACGUGUAAUUUUGAAGAUGAGCAAGCCUUGGCCUUUCAGAUGUCCCACGUGAGGGAAGCGCACCCACGUCCCGCAAAAUUGUAAGCUUCUGAAUCAUGGAAGUCGGAUCUUAAAGCCUCUAAUUCCCACUGAAUUAGCGAUGUUUGGCCAUGUGUGUGACUGUGAAAAUGAAGCCCAGUGCUGGAUCGGGGGUGGCCGACUGCCUGGUGGAUGUGAGCCUGUGCAGGAGCCCCUGUGGUCCAACACGCAGCGUGAGCCAGGGAGAUGCAGAAUUCAGGCAUGGGCAGCUUUCAUUUUCUGCCUCCCAGCUCCUCCUCUGCAUGGUAUUCAGGCUCAGGGAUCAGAAUCUGGUGGCUCCCCAUGGCAUGGAAGUUUUGCUUAGUAGUUUGCAGGCUGAGAAGGGCUGGCCAUGCCUUGCAUAAAGAAUUAUUUGAUUAGCUCUAGAUGUCUUUCUCCUAAUUAAAAUUAUUGGAGAAAUUUUUUUCCUCUCUGGUAUGGUGGUAUACAUCAGGAGUAAGACCACUGCACAUUUAAUUUGGAUGUAUAUCCCAUGGUGAGACCAGCAGCUGGCCUUUAACUUUGCUCCCUGCAGCCAUGGAAGGCUUGCCACAGGCACCCCUGCAGAACCAGAGACCUCCUUUUGGGGUUCACAGGAUUAAUGCCAAAUUCUUUCUCCACAUCCAUGGCUCCCAGGAACCAAACAGUAGCUUCAGAGAGCCAUCAGCUUUAUUAGCCUGAGGGUAAUCAGAGGGACCCCCCAAACUUCAGCCUGAGUGAGUCUUCCCUUCCUGCCCCUAUUCUAUGUCAGUUUCACUUGCAGCUGUUCAGAGGAAAGAUUUUUUUCACAAUCUCUUUCAAGUAUGGGAUAUUGGCAAUCCCUCUCCUGAAGUGCUGUGGUUGGAGAGUAUCCUGGGCUAACCUGGGAAGCACAAGGCUCCAUGUCUAGACCUUGCAGUAAAUGUUAUUCAGCCUCCUGUGGGAUUACUGGGCUCAACACAAAUGUCUUAGCCAAGCUCACAAGGAAGAGGAAAUAUGGGAAUAUAUGCCACCAGAAUACACUGUCUCCCUUGACAUUUUUGUCUGUAAAACAAUGGCAGAAAUGACAGGGAGUUUUUAACUGAAAGGUGUUGUUGGCCUCUUUCCUUUUCAUUUUUUGACUUUUGUUUCCUGUAGGAGGGUCUCUGGAAUUCCUUAACAUUGUCAUCGAGUCCUAAAGGUUUCCCUCUUCUAGUUGGGCUACAUCUCCUAGAUUGCCAGCAAUGCAAAAUUGCAGAGGGAAGACAUUUCUCUUUAAACUGCAGCUUCUCCUCCCAAAGGAAAUGUUCUUUUUACUUCCAUGCCCCCAAUCUUAAAUAUUUUCUUGGUACUCAGGUAUUUUCACUUGAGACUUCCCAGUUUCCUAGAAAUUCUGAUUUACUCUCUUGCUGAGUAUAUGGAACAAGAUACUAAAUCCAUCUUACUUGGAAAAAAAAUAUAUAGAGCAAUAAAACUCUAAUUGAAACAUUUUCCUGAAAAAUG
rnacentral:lncRNA from 1 species